rnacentral:rRNA from 1 species
UACGAGUGGUGCAAGCGUUAUUCGGAUUAAUUGGGCGUAAAGGGUGCGCAGGCGGCGCAUUAAGUCAACUGUUAAAGACCUCAGCCUAACUGGGGAACAGCAGUAGAUACUGGUGUGCUAGAGGGUGGAAGAGAGAAGUGGAAUUCUUGGAGUAGCGGUAAAAUGCGUAGAUCUCAAGAGGAACACCGAUGGCGAAGACAGCUUCUUGGUCCACAUCUGACGCUCAUGCACGAAAGCGUGGGGAGCAAACAGG